rnacentral:rRNA from 1 species
GACGUAGGGCGCGAGCGUUGUCCGGAUUUAUUGGGCGUAAAGAGCUCGUAGGUGGCUUGUCGCGUCGUCCGUGAAAACUUGGGGCUCAACCCCAAGAUUGCGGUCGAUACGGGCAGGCUGGAGUUCGGUAGGGGAGACUGGAAUUACUGGUGUAGCGGUGAAAUGCGCAGAUAUCAGGAGGAACACCGAUGGCGAAGGCAGGUCGCUGGGCCUCUACUGACGCUGAGAAGCGAAAGCAUGGGGAGCGAACAGG